GCGUCGAUGGCGGAGUGGUCAAUCGCGACGGACUGUAAAUCCGUUGACUUAUGUCUACGUUGGUUCGAAUCCAACUCGGCGCA
rnacentral:tRNA from 1 species